ensembl:processed_transcript 2900005J15Rik RIKEN cDNA 2900005J15 gene
UCUGGUACUGCGGGCUGCUCAGGGCCCUGGUGUUCCUCCCAGGCAGCAGGACCUUGGCUUCUGGUCUGAGUGAGGGGAGUGCUUCCUCUCCUGCUCAGAAUUGAAUACCGGCUGACCCCAGUGAUCACUCCAGCUCCUUGAAGCUAACAUCAGCCCACUUGCUCCCUGUAAACAAUAAUACACAGACACUACCUAUAGCAUAAACAUGAUAUGGGUUCCUUUGACGAAGACAUGAUGGGGCUAAGGAGAUGGCCUUUCCUGCUCUCCCACCGUAGAGGAUGUGGUUACCACUUUAAGACCAUGAUUUAGUAAAGGACCUGUCUGUCCCAUGAGAAACCCAUUGCUGGGUCCAGCAGUCUCCUGGAUUUCCACGUUACCAGCCAAGUUCCUGCAAAUUAGGUAAAACCCUACAGCCCAGAGCCCCCAACCACUAUCCUUAAGCAGCUUCUGGAGAGUCCUCUGAAGAUUCUAACCCGGUCACUCUCCUCCCCAGCCUGGCUCCUCACUAAAGGACUCCCAGGACCCCAAAGACAUCAUUCUACUGAGGGUUCAGACUGCUUCUUAGAAGCAGAAGUGAGGGGUUUGGAGGGACGCAAUACCAAUGUCCAAGGAAGCUACCCUCAGCCACUAAAAAAAAGAAAAAAAAAAAAGAAAAAACCACUCCAGGAUUGUCAAGUGUUCUCUCUCUGUAGGUUGGAAUGUUCAUCUCUUCAUGAUGGUGUGCCAGGAUGCAUAAAUGGUACCACGUGAUGAGAGAGAAGUGGCUUUGAAAGAAGCAGCCAUCAGAAGAGACCAAGAAGACAGAGAACCCAUGUGAACGGCUGAUGUAAUCCCAGCACCCCCAUCAGACAGUACACAGUGCACCAGCAGUAAUGAGAGAGACCCCGCUUCAAAAAAGCAAGGGAACCUGUGCCAGCCACCUCCACUCUGCACACCAGACUUCCCUUCAUCAUAAAGUCAGUUAGCCACAGAGGAUCCCAACAGUGAAAUCCAGAAGACUUGAAUUAAGGUUCAGGAGGCUGACUGAGUCACACAGAGGCUCUAUAUCAUCCCAAUGUCACCAAUUUCUUGAUGCACCCAUGGAUUCUUUGGGAUAGUGGCUGUGUAUGUCAAGCUGGCCAGCCUCUGGUGCCCGCAGACUGGUCAGAUGCGAUGCAGAUAUGGUUGCAAAGGUAUUUUUGAAGAUGAGGUUGCAUCUCCACACCGGUAUUACAAAGCAGACCACUGUACAAAUUAUGCUAUAAGUUCCAUGCCAGGUGGCUCCACAGAAGUCUUGCGGCCUUGGAGGACAGCUCAAAGAAGCUGCUGCCGGAACAAAGGCAGCAGACUCCCUGUGUGCACCACAGGGCCACUUCACAAGACUUAUUAUUGAGGGCAUCAGGUGAGGAACUGUGAAACCCAAGUGCUCAGAUCCCCUUCAGGAAAGAGCAGCUUCCUUUGCGCUGAAGAAAGCCUGGCUCACACUCACUAAUGACUGAGCUUAGCCACGCCCAUCAUCCUCCUGCUCUUCUCAUUACCUGAACAAGCACGAGGUAAUUACAGAAGCUAAGCCUCAGCGCCUUCUAGAGAAUGCUGUCAUUCCUGUGACAGGCAAACACCCAUGGCACUGUGUCCAGAUAAGCAUGGCAUACUCACUGGCCAGUUUUUCUCACCCUUAAUGUCUCUUCCAGAUUCACAAAAUGGUUGGUUUUAGAAUUACAGAUAUG